GCGAGAUCGAGCCCCGGCCCCGGCCAGACCUGCCUCGGCGCUGCGCGAGGUGUGACUAGGACUGAGGAGACGCUCGGUGAGGAGCAAGCUCUACUUUCUCAGGACAUCGACUGGCUCCCAGAAACACAGUCAUAUAUUCUUGAAGCUUUAACGCCAUGUCCAAUUGGGAGUAUGUUUUCAAAAGCACUGAAUUUAUAUCAAAGCAAGAUAUCUAUAAAGCAUCUGCCAAAGUCCUGACAAUGGGGAGAAGCCAUUUUAGUUCCAGAUUUGACUGUUCCAAUUUGAAAGAAAACCAUGAAAGUAAAGACUGGUUUAAGAACAGGUUGGGAGGUCAGGAGGUGUGUUCCAGUCAAUCACUUAUCACUCAUAAAGAAGUCCCUGAAAAUCAACCUUCCCUCCCUCCCUCCCUUCCUCUCUUCAUACAGAAUUAAAACAGAUCUAGGUUUUAUCAUUGCUUUUCCAUCUUCUAUCCUUAAUUUCAGGAGAGUAUCUGGUCCUUUGUAACCUUCAGUCUUAUUUACACUAUGGGACUAAUAAUGGUUCUACCUCAGAAGCAACUGGGAGAAAUAAAUAAUGCAUGUAGAUUUCUUAGCAGAGUGCCUAGCAUAAAAUAAUAUUAAUCUAAAAUAAAAAUAUGAUAUAACAAG
rnacentral:lncRNA from 1 species